rnacentral:sRNA from 1 species
UGUAUCUGAAGUCUGACGAGGAUGAGAACCUCCGGGGGCAAGAGGUUCGACCCGAGCGAAGCGAGAGAACGUUGCGUCAGCAACGGCCCGCAGGGCGAGUCAUCCUCUAUCAUCGAACU